rnacentral:rRNA from 1 species
UACGUAGGGGGCAAGCGUUGUCCGGAUUUAUUGGGCGUAAAGAGCUCGUAGGUGGUUCGGUAAGUCGGAUGUGAAAUCUCCAGGCUCAACCUGGAGGGGUCAUUCGAUACUGCCGUGACUAGAGGUCGGUAGGGGAGUGUGGAAUUCCUGGUGGAGCGGUGAAAUGCGCAGAUAUCAGGAGGAACACCCGUAGCGAAGGCGGCACUCUGGGCCGAUAUUGACGCUGAGGAGCGAAAGCCAGGGGAGCAAACGGG